GGUUUCGAUUCUGGCUCAGAUUGAACGCUGGCGGGAUGCUUUACACAUGCAAGUCGAACGGCAGCACGGGCUUCGGUCUGGUGGCGAGUGGCGAACGGGUGAGUAAUGUAUCGGAACGUGCCUAGUAAUAGCGGGGAUAACUACGCGAAAGCGUAGCUAAUACCACAUACGCCCUUCGGGGGAAAGCGGGGGACCUUCGGGCUCGCACUAUUAGAGCGGCCGAUAUCGGAUUAGCUGGUUGGUGGGGUAACGGCUCACCAAGGCGACGAUCCGUAGCUGGUUUGAAGGACGACCAGCCACACUGGGACUGAGACACGGCCCAGACUCCUACGGGAGGCAGCAGUGGGGAAUUUUGGACAAUGGGGAAACCCUGAUCCAGCCAUCCCGCGUGUGCGAUGAAGGCCUUCGGGUUGUAAAGCACUUUUGGCAGGAAAGAAACGGCCUGGGAUAAUACCCCGUGCAACUGACGGUACCUGCAGAAUAAGCACCGGCUAACUACGUGCCAGCAGCCGCGGUAAUACGUAGGGUGCAAGCGUUAAUCGGAAUUACUGGGCGUAAAGCGUGCGCAGGCGGUUCGGAAAGAAGAUGUGAAAUCCCAGAGCUUAACUUUGGAACUGCAUUUUUAACUACCGAGCUAGAGUGUGUCAGAGGAGGUGGAAUUCCGCGUGUAGCAGUGAAAUGCGUAGAUAUGCGGAGAGACACCGAUGGCGAAGGCAGCCUCCUGGGAUAACACUGACGCUCAUGCACGAAAGCGUGGGAGCAAACAGGAUUAGAUACCCUGGUAGUCCACGCCCUAAACGAUGUCAACUAGCUGUUGGGGCCUUCGGGCCUUGGUAGCGCAGCUAACGCGUGAAGUUGACCGCCUGGGAAGUACGGUCGCAAGAUUAAAACUCAAGGAAUUGACAGGGACCCGCACAAGCGGUGGAUGAUGUGGAUUAAUUCGAUGCAACGCGAAAAACCUUACCACCCUUGACAUGUCUGGAAUCCCGAAGAGAUUUGGGAGUGCUCGCAAGAGAACCGGAACACAGGUGCUGCAUGGCUGUCGUCAGCUCGUGUCGUGAGAUGUUGGGUUAAGUCCCGCAACAGGCGCAACCCUUGUCAUUAGUUGCUACGAAAGGGCACUCUAUUGAGACUGCCGGUGACAAACCGGAGGAAGGUGGGGAUGACGUCAAGUCCUCAUGGCCCUUAUGGUAGGGCUUCACACGUCAUACAAUGGUCGGGACAGAGGGUCGCCAACCCGCGAGGGAGCCAAUCCCAGAAACCCGAUCGUAGUCCGGAUCGCAGUCUGCAACUCGACUGCGUGAAGUCGGAAUCGCUAGUAAUCGCGGAUCAGCAUGUCGCGGUGAAUACGUUCCCGGGUCUUGUACACACCGCCCGUCACACCAUGAAGGGGUGGGUUUUACCAGAAGUAGUUAGCCUAACCGUAAGGAGGGCGAUUACCACGGUAGGAUUCAUGACUGGGGUGAAGUCGUAACAAGACAA
rnacentral:rRNA from 1 species